rnacentral:rRNA from 1 species
UACGUAGGGGGCAAGCGUUGUCCGGAUUUAUUGGGCGUAAAGAGCGUGUAGGCGGCCAUACAGGUCAGCUGUGAAAACUCGAGGCUCAACCUCGAGACGUCGGUUGAAACCGUAUGGCUAGAGUCCGGAAGAGGAGAGUGGAAUUCCUGGUGUAGCGGUGAAAUGCGCAGAUAUCAGGAGGAACACCCGUGGCGAAAGCGGCUCUCUGGGACGGUACUGACGCUGAGACGCGAAAGCGUGGGGAGCGAACAGG